rnacentral:rRNA from 1 species
UGGGGAAUAUUGGGGCAAUGGGGCGAAAGCCUGACCCAGCGACGCCGCGUGAGGGAAGAAGGUCUUCGGAUUGUAAACCUUUGUCAACAGGGACGAAGCAAUGACGGUACCUGUGAAGGAAGCCACGGCUAACUACGUGCCAGCAGCCGCGGUAAUACGUAGGUGGCGAGCGUUAUCCGGAUUUACUGGGUGUAAAGGGUGAGUAGGCGGGAAGGCAAGUCAGAUGUGAAAUGCAAUGGCUCAACCAUUGAAUUGCAUUUGAAACUGUUUUCUGAGUAUCGGAGAGGCAAGCGGAAUUCCUAGUGUAGCGGUGAAAUGCGUAGAUAUUAGGAGGAACACCAGUGGCGAAGGCGGCUUGCUGGACGACAACUGACGCUGA